GGAAUAUUGGACAAUGGGCGCAAGCCUGAUCCAGCAAUGCCGCGUGAGUGAUGAAGGCCUUAGGGUUGUAAAGCUCUUUCGCCCGCGACGAUGAUGACGGUAGCGGGAGAAGAAGCCCCGGCUAACUCCGUGCCAGCAGCCGCGGUAAUACGUAGGGUGCAAGCGUUAAUCGGAAUUACUGGGCGUAAAGGGCGCGUAGGCGGCCACCGCAAGUCGACUGUGAAAUCUCCGGGCUUAACCCGGAAAGGUCAGCCGAUACUGCGGGGCUAGAGUGCAGAAGGGGCAACUGGAAUUCUCGGUGUAGCGGUGAAAUGCGUAGAUAUCGAGAGGAACACCUGCGGCGAAGGCGGGUUGCUGGGCUGACACUGACGCUGAGGCGCGAAAGCUAGGGGAGCAAA
rnacentral:rRNA from 1 species